rnacentral:lncRNA from 1 species
AGCUUCUCAGGCUGCCAUUCACUUCUUAAGUAUGUGUCCUCAGCAAAUGACCUGUGUUCAGUGGACCGUUACCUUCCCCACCGGGUGAGCGUCAAGGCUGAACUACUCAAUCUCCCAGCAGCCUUAGGAGGUAGCUGCCAUUACCGUGCCUGCUUCACGCCUGAGGAAAUUGAUGCUGUACAGUAAGAAACCCUGCUGAGCUCCACCAUACUUAAGCCACCUUAAACCACAGCCUUAAGGGAUGCAGAGUGUGGGAGCUCUUCACUCCUGGUCUCUCCUCUUAAAAACAAAAAGCUAUUCCCACACUUGAGAGGCUGAGGCAGGAGGAUGGCAAGUUCAAGGCCAAUUUGGGCUACAUGUGAAGAGUCUGACUCAGAAUAACAACAAGAGGCCGGAGAGAUGGUUUAGCAGUUAACGGUGCUGUCUGCCCUUGCAGAGGAUCCAGAUUCAGUCCCUGCACACACAGGGCAGCUCACAGCCAUCUGUGACUCCAAUUCUAGUCAGUUUGAUGCCCUCUUCUGCCUCACUGGGGACUGCAUGCCCGUGGUGCACAGACAUGUGAGAAAACACUCAUACACAUAAAAUAAAAAUAAAUCUUU